GCCCGCCUAGCUCAAUCGGAUAGAGCGUCAGACUCUUACGGCGGGAUGCAUUGCUGCGAUCUGAAGGCUGCGAGUUCGACCCUCGCGGUGGGCU